UCCCUGGUAGCCUAGUGGUUAAGGAUCUGGCCUUGUCAGUCCUGUGGCUCAGGUUCAAUCCCUGGCCUGGGAA
rnacentral:tRNA from 1 species